rnacentral:rRNA from 1 species
UGGGGAAUUUUCCGCAAUGGACGAAAGUCUGACGGAGCAACGCCGCGUGAGUGAAGAAGGCCUUCGGGUUGUAAAGCUCUUUUGUUAGGGACGAAUGUGCAGGUUGUAAAUAAUGACUUGUAAUGACGGUACCUAAAGAAAAAGCCACGGCUAACUACGUGCCAGCAGCCGCGGUAAUACGUAGGUGGCAAGCGUUGUCCGGAAUUAUUGGGCGUAAAGCGCGCGCAGGCGGGAAAGUAAGUCUGUUGUUAAAAUGCGGGGCUCAACCCCGUAGUGCAAUGGAAACUACUUUUCUUGAGUGCAGGAGAGGAAAGGGGAAUUCCCAGUGUAGCGGUGAAAUGCGUAGAUAUUGGGAGGAACACCAGUGGCGAAGGCGCCUUUCUGGACUGUGUCUGACGCU